ensembl:rRNA 5S_rRNA 5S ribosomal RNA
GUCUACGGCCAUACCACCCUGAACGUGCCCGAUCUCGUCUGAUCUCGGAAGCUAAGCAGGGUCGGGCCUGGUUUGUACUUGGAUGGGAGAAUUGCUAUACAUAAGUAAGGGCUUGUGAUU